rnacentral:rRNA from 1 species
AGAGUUUGAUCAUGGCUCAGGACGAACGCUGGCGGCGUGCCUAAUACAUGCAAGUAGAACGCUGAAGAGAGGAGCUUGCUCUUCUUGGAUGAGUUGCGAACGGGUGAGUAACGCGUAGGUAACCUGCCUUGUAGCGGGGGAUAACUAUUGGAAACGAUAGCUAAUACCGCAUAACAAUGGAUGACCCAUGUCAUUUAUUUGAAAGGGGCAAAUGCUCCACUACAAGAUGGACCUGCGUUGUAUUAGCUAGUAGGUGAGGUAACGGCUCACCUAGGCGACGAUACAUAGCCGACCUGAGAGGGUGAUCGGCCACACUGGGACUGAGACACGGCCCAGACUCCUACGGGAGGCAGCAGUAGGGAAUCUUCGGCAGUGGGGGCAACCCUGACCGAGCAACGCCGCGUGAGUGAAGAAGGUUUUCGGAUCGUAAAGCUCUGUUGUAAGUCAAGAACGAGUGUGAGAGUGGAAAGUUCACACUGUGACGGUAGCUUACCUGAAAGGGACGGCUAACUACGUGCCAGUAGCCGCGGUAAUACGUAGGUCCCGAGCGUUGUCCGGAUUUAUUGGGCGUAAAGCGAGCGCAGGCGGUUUGAUAAGUCUGAAGUUAAAGGCUGUGGCUCAACCAUAGUUCGCUUUGGAAACUGUCAAACUUGAGUGCAGAAGGGGAGAGUGGAAUUCCAUGUGUAGCGGUGAAAUGCGUAGAUAUAUGGAGGAACACCGGUGGCGAAAGCGGCUCUCUGGUCUGUAACUGACGCUGAGGCUCGAAAGCGUGGGGAGCGAACAGGAUUAGAUACCCUGGUAGUCCACGCCGUAAACGAUGAGUACUAGGUGUCGGGGGUUACCCCCCUCGGUGCCGCAGCUAACGCAUUAAGUACUCCGCCUGGGGAGUACGCUCGCAAGAGUGAAACUCAAAGGAAUUGACGGGGACCCGCACAAGUAGCGGAGCAUGUGGUUUAAUUCGAAGCAACGCGAAGAACCUUACCUAAGCUUGACAUCCUUUUGACCGAUGCCUAAUCGCAUUUUUCCCUUCGGGGACAGAAGUGACAGGUGGUGCAUGGUUGUCGUCAGCUCGUGUCGUGAGAUGUUGGGUUAAGUCCCGCAACGAGCGCAACCCUUGCCUUUAGUUGCCAGCAUUAAGUUGGGCACUCUAGAGGGACUGCCAGGGAUAACCUGGAGGAAGGUGGGGAUGACGUCAAAUCAUCAUGCCCCUUAUGCUUAGGGCUACACACGUGCUACAAUGGGUGGUACAGAGGGCAGCCAAGUCGUGAGGCCGAGCUAAUCCCUUAAAGCCAUUCUCAGUUCGGAUUGUAGGCUGAAACUCGCCUACAUGAAGCUGGAGUUACUAGUAAUCGCAGAUCAGAAUGCUGCGGUGAAUGCGUUCCCGGGUCUUGUACACACCGCCCGUCACACCAUGGGAGUUGGGGGCGCCCGAAGCCGGUUAGCUAACCUUUUGGAAGCGGCCGUCGAAGGUGAAACCAAUAACUGGGGUGAAGUCGUAACAAGGUA